rnacentral:ncRNA from 2 species
AUGGUGUCUCCCGCAGCUGGUUCGGCCCCGCGCGAGCGGACGCCGAGGCAAGAGGGAAUCCGGUGGAAGUCCGGAACUGCCCCGCAGCGGUUAGUGGGAACGACCGCCGUCAACGAAGCACUGGACCGCGAGGUCUGGGAAGCGACGGCCAGUAGGAACGCGUAGGACGCCCACGAGUCCGAAGACCUGCCAGCGCGCCGCAUGCCAC